rnacentral:rRNA from 1 species
GACGAACGCUGGCGGCGUGCCUAAUACAUGCAAGUAGAACGCACAGUUUAUACCGUAGCUUGCUACACCAUAGACUGUGAGUUGCGAACGGGUGAGUAACGCGUAGGUAACCUGCCUGGUAGCGGGGGAUAACUAUUGGAAACGAUAGCUAAUACCGCAUAAUAUUGAUUAUUGCAUGAUAAUUGAUUGAAAGAUGCUAUUGCAUCACUACCAGAUGGACCUGCGUUGUAUUAGCUAGUAGGUGAGGUAACGGCUCACCUAGGCGACGAUACAUAGCCGACCUGAGAUGGUGAUCGGCCACACUGGGACUGAGACACGGCCCAGACUCCUACGGGAGGCAGCAGUAGGGAAUCUUCGGCAAUGGACGAAAGUCUGACCGAGCAACGCCGCGUGAGUGAAGAAGGUUUUCGGAUCGUAAAGCUCUGUUGUAAGAGAAGAACGGGUGUGAGAGUGGAAAGUUCACACUGUGACGGUAUCUUACCAGAAAGGGACGGCUAACUACGUG